CCACAAAUAGCCAGUUAAUAGGUAUCAAAUCAUCCAUCUGGCUCUCAAGGCCCUUGGCAUGUCACUCUUUUCUCUCCUCCACGUCCUUGAGAACAAACACAGUAGGCUCAACGCCAUGGUUGUGUGUGUUGGGGUGUGUAAUACACACAAAUGCGUAUGGGCAGAAUCCACAGAAGAUGCUGGAGGCUCAAGACUUAUUUAUUCAGGCUCACAAGAACACUGCUGGGGCUCUGCAUGAGAACACUGGAGGAAAAUCUUUCACUCACAGGGCAAGAGGAACUGACAGGUCCCUAAUGGUGUUAUUUUACGUGAAAAAACAUAAUCAGAAGUAGCAUUAGAACCACAGCUGACGACGGACGAUGGAUAACGUGAUUCUAGUCCUUACUCAACACCUGUUCCCCACAGGCUACCCUGUCUCCUGGGGACCAGCAGUACCUACAGGUGCAUCAACAACCAAAGGAAUUCUGUGAGAGAUCUAAAAUGUGAGGAGCAAAAUGUUCUUAAUUUCUCAAGAACACAAAUAAACAAUAGAGUUUAUUCACUCCCU
ensembl:lncRNA